rnacentral:rRNA from 1 species
ACUACGGGUGGCAGCAGUGAGGAAUAUUGGUCAAUGGGCGCGAGCCUGAACCAGCCAAGUAGCGUGAAGGAUGACUGCCCUACGGGGUGUAAACUUCUUUUAUAAAGGAAUAAAGUGAGGCACGUGUGCCUUUUUGUAUGUACUUUAUGAAUAAGGAUCGGCUAACUCCGUGCCAGCAGCCGCGGUAAUACGGAGGAUCCGAGCUUUAUCCGGAUUUAUUGGGUUGAAAGGGGGCGUAGAUGGGUUGUUAAGUCAGUUUUGAAAGUUUGCGGUGAAAGCGUAAAAUUGCAAUUGAUACUGGCAUUCUUGAGUACAGUUGAGGUUGGAGGAAUUCGUGGUGUAGCGGUGAAAGGCUUAGAUAUCACGAAGAACUCCGAUUGCGAAGGCAGCUUACUAAACUGCCACUGACAUUGAUGCUCGAAAGUGUGGGUAUCAAACAGGAUUAGAUACCCCUGUAGUC